UAGCAUAUCAAUAAGCGGAGGAAAAGAAACCAACAGGGAUUGCCCCAGUAACGGCGAGUGAAGCGGCAACAGCUCAAAUUUGAAAUCUGGCUCCUAGAGUCCGAGUUGUAAUUUGUAGAGGAUGCUUUUGAUGCGGUGCCUUCCGAGUUCCCUGGAACGGGACGCCAUAGAGGGUGAGAGCCCCGUCUGGUCGGAUGCCAAAUCUCUGUAAAGCUCCUUCGACGAGUCGAGUAGUUUGGGAAUGCUGCUCUAAAUGGGAGGUAUAUGUCUUCUAAAGCUAAAUAUUGGCCAGAGACCGAUAGCGCACAAGUAGAGUGAUCGAAAGAUGAAAAGCACUUUGAAAAGAGGGUUAAAUAGUACGUGAAAUUGUUGAAAGGGAAGCGCCUAUGACCAGACUUGGGCCCGGUGAAUCAUCCAGCGUUCUCGCUGGUGCACUUUGCCGGGCACAGGCCAGCAUCAGUUUGUCUUGGGGGAAAAAGGCUUUGGGAACGUGGCUCCCUCGGGAGUGUUAUAGACCAUUGCAUAAUACCCUGGGACGGACUGAGGUUCGCGCAUCUGCAAGGAUGCUGGCGUAAUGGUCAUCAGCGACCCGUCUUGAAACACGGACCAAGGAGUCGUCUUCGUAUGCGAGUGUUCGGGUGUAAAACCCCUACGCGUAAUGAAAGUGAACGCAGGUGAGAGCUUCGGCGCAUCAUCGACCGAUCCUGAUGUUCUCGGAUGGAUUUGAGUAAGAGCAUACGGGGCCGGACCCGAAAGAAGGUGAACUAUUCCUGUAUAGGGUGAAGCCAGAGGAAACUCUGGUGGAGGCUCGCAGCGGUUCUGACGUGCGAAUCGAUCGUCAAAUAUGGGAAUGGGGGCGAAAGACUAAUCGAACCUUCUAGUAGCUGGUUUCC
rnacentral:rRNA from 1 species